UUAAUUGAAACAAUGACGUGAUAAGCAGCUUGAAAUUGGACGAUACGCAGAGAAGAGAUGCAUGGCCCCUGCGCAAGGAUGACAUGCACAAAUCAAAAAAAUGGUCCAAAUUUUU
rnacentral:snRNA from 1 species